rnacentral:rRNA from 1 species
AUGAACGCUGGCGGCGUGCCUCAUCCAUGCCAGUCGCGCGAACAGACGAGGAGCUUGCUCCUCUGACGUUAGCGGCGGACGGGUGAGUAACACGUGGAUAACCUACCUAUAAGACUGGGAUAACUUCGGGAAACCGGAGCUAAUACCGGAUAAUAUAUUGAACCGCAUGGAUCAAUAGUGAAAGACGGCUUUGCUGUCACUUAUAGAUGGAUCCGCGCCGCAUUAGCUAGUUGGUAAGGUAACGGCUUACCAAGGCAACGAUGCGUAGCCGACCUGAGAGGGUGAUCGGCCACACUGGAACUGAGACACGGUCCAGACUCCUACGGGAGGCAGCAGUAGGGAAUCUUCCGCAAUGGGCGAAAGCUUGACGGAGCAACGCCGCGUGAGUGAUGAAGGUCUUCGGAUCGUAAAACUCUGUUAUUAGGGAAGAACAAAUGUGUAAGUAACUAUGCACGUCUUGACGGUACCUAAUCAGAAAGCCACGGCUAACUACGUG